AGUCAAGUAAUUAAGUGCAUGUGGUGGAUGCCUUGGCAGUCAGAGGCGAUGAAAGACGUGAUAGCCUGCGAAAAGCUCCGGGGAGGCGGCAAAUAUCCUUUGAUCCGGAGAUUUCUGAAUGGGGGAACCCACCUACUUUAAGGUAGGUAUUGCAACAUGAAUACAUAGUGUUGCAAGGCGAACGAGGGGAAGUGAAACAUCUCAGUACCCUUAGGAAAAGAAAUCAAUUGAGAUUCCCUUAGUAGCGGCGAGCGAACGGGGAUCAGCCCAUUAAGUUAUGUGUGUUUUAGUGGAACGCUCUGGGAAGUGCGAACGUAGAGGGUGAUAUUCCCGUACACGAAAGGGCACACAUAAUGAUGACGAGUAGGGCGAGGCACGUGAAACCUUGUCUGAAUAUGGGGGGACCAUCCUCCAAGGCUAAAUACUCCUGACUGACCGAUAGUGAACCAGUACCGUGAGGGAAAGGCGAAAAGAACCCCUGUGAGGGGAGUGAAAUAGAUCCUGAAACCGCAUGCAUACAAGCAGUGGGAGCACCUUCGUGGUGUGACUGCGUACCUUUUGUAUAAUGGGUCAGCGACUUAUAUUCAGUAGCAAGGUUAACCGUAUAGGGGAGCCGUAGAGAAAUCGAGUCUUAAUAGGGCGUUUAGUUGCUGGGUAUAGACCCGAAACCAGGCGAUCUAUCCAUGAGCAGGUUGAAGGUUG
rnacentral:rRNA from 1 species